GAUGAACGCUGGCGGCGUGCCUAAUACAUGCAAGUCGAGCGAACAGACGAGGAGCUUGCUCCUCUGACGUUAGCGGCGGACGGGUGAGUAGCACGUGGAUAACCUACCUAUAAGACUGGGAUAACUUCGGGAAACCGGAGCUAAUACCGGAUAAUAUAUUGAACCGCAUGGUUCAAUAGUGAAAGACGGUUUUGCUGUCACUUAUAGAUGGAUCCGCGCCGCAUUAGCUAGUUGGUAAGGUAACGGCUUACCAAGGCGACGAUGCGUAACCGACCUGAGAGGGUGAUCGGCCACACUGGAACUGAGACACGGUCCAGACUCCUACGGGAGGCAGCAGUAGGGAAUCUUCCGCAAUGGGCGAAAGCCUGACGGAGCAACGCCGCGUGAGUGAUGAAGGUCUUCGGAUCGUAAAACUCUGUUAUUAGGGAAGAACAAAUGUGUAAGUAACUAUGCACGUCUUGACGGUACCUAAUCAGAAAGCCACGGCUAACUACGUG
rnacentral:rRNA from 1 species